UGGGGAAUAUUGCACAAUGGGGGAAACCCUGAUGCAGCGACGCCGCGUGAACGAAGAAGGUAUUCGUAUCGUAAAGUUCUGUCCUAUGGGAAGAUAAUGACAGUACCAUAGAAGAAAGCUCCGGCUAAAUACGUGCCAGCAGCCGCGGUAAUACGUAUGGAGCGAGCGUUGUCCGGAAUUAUUGGGCGUAAAGGGUACGCAGGCGGUUUAAUAAGUCGAAUGUUAAAGAUCGGGGCUCAACCCCGCAAAGCAUUGGAAACUGAUAAACUUGAGUAGUGGAGAGGAAAGUGGAAUUCCUAGUGUAGUGGUGAAAUACGUAGAUAUUAGGAGGAAUACCAGUAGCGAAGGCGACUUUCUGGACACAAACUGACGCUGAGGUACGAAAGCGGGGGGAGCAAACAGG
rnacentral:rRNA from 2 species